ensembl:snoRNA
CCUGCCCCUAGAAGCAUUACAGGUGUGGCUGCUGUGUCACUUCUCAGUGGGUGGCAGAGAAGGGAAAGGCUAUGUCUACUCCCAGUGUUUUGACCUAUAAAUAUCUGAGUAACUAGUGGCCUAACAUU